UACGAAGGGGGGCUAGCGUUGCUCGGAAUUACUGGGCGUAAAGCGCACGUAGGCGGCUUUCUAAGUCGGGGGUGAAAUCCUGGAGCUCAACUCCAGAACUGCCUUCGAUACUGGAGAGCUUGAGUCCGGGAGAGGUGAGUGGAACUGCGAGUGUAGAGGUGAAAUUCGUAGAUAUUCGCAAGAACACCAGUGGCGAAGGCGGCUCACUGGCCCGGUACUGACGCUGAGGUGCGAAAGCGUGGGGAGCAAACGGGG
rnacentral:rRNA from 1 species